AGGGAAAUAUUUAAUUUUUCGGUAAAUGUUAUAUAUACUGAAGCCUAUGAUCUUUACUGUUGUUUGAAAAUUUCAAAACACAUUAUACAUUUGUAUUAAUGUAUAUUAAACUCUCUUUCAUGGUACAUGGGCAUCGUUAAAAUUUUUUGUCAAUUAAUAUAGUAAAACUUCAUAAUACUCCCUAAAUUGGUUGACUAACCACUAUAAAAUCGCUAUUCUCAACAAAAAUGGAGACACCAAAGGUUCCAAACAUCUUUGACCUUCAUCAUAUGUUAGUGAAGAAUGCAACUAUGCAUUAAAAUAGAAUUUUCUUUUUUUUUGAAUUUUUAUCAAAAUCUAUGGGUUAACCCUAC